ACGCUUCUUGUUUUCUCACCGUCUAAACAAAACAAUCUUGAAACAUAAAAAACAUUUUGCACAAAAAGAAGUCCAACGGAUUAGAAGUUUUGGAACCAUUUUAGAUACAAUCAUUCAUAAUGUCUAGAACACUUAAUCGGAACAAACCUUUCUCGAGAUUCAGUUGUAAACUGGUUAAACUAUGAUGGCCUGAAAUAGAUGAGAAAUCUCCAUCUUAGCAAUGCAUAACAAGUAUUUAGCCACCGAACAAUAUUGAUUAAGUGCAUAAAAAAUCCACUUACAGAAAUUUAAGAGAGGAAUUUCUCAAUCAGACACCAUUCUGUUCAAGUACACAAAUUAUAAGCCAUUGAAAUACAAAGUGGGUAAAAACAACUAUUACAUCUCCCUUGUUUUUGUAAGUGACCAUUUCAAUGGUCAACAUCAGAUAACAAUACUGGCAGGUCCCUCAUUGGAUCCGACGGCAGAGAGUGAUGCCAUCACCAACAGGAAGCAUGCAAAUUUCAAUCCUGGGGUCAGCAGCAAGUGCCUUGUUGAGCUCCAAAACAAAGUCCCUGUAGUACCUCACAUACUUCCUCAUUGGUGCAUCAGGUGGAGCCACCACAGAUCCAUUCCACAGAGUGUUGUCGUACCCAAUCAGCCCACCAACUUUUACAAGCUCAAUCAACCUCUUGUGAUAAUUUAUAUAAUUGUCCUUGUCAGCAUCCACAAAGAUGAAAUCAAAACUUCCAUGGCACUUCCCCUGCGUUUUCCCAGACAGAAUAGUAAGAUUAGUAAUAGUCAUAUAAUUUAUAUAUCAAGUUAAAAAACGAGCAUCGUUUCUUUUUCUCAUACAAGUAGACAAAAAAGGAUGUUUUUCCCUCUUCCAUUUUCAUUUUUUGUCGAACAUAGAGUAUUUCUUACAUCUUCAAUCAUUUGAUCAAGAACUGGUAGAGCAGGGCCUUCCUUGAAAUCAAUCUUGUGCGCAACACCAGCUUUCUGAAUUACUGGGAGACCCAAUUCGUAGUUUUCUCUGUUGAUGUCCAUAGCCAAGAUCUGCAAGAAACAAAAUCCCAUUUAUUUUUUAUCAUCACAUGAAUUUAUUUAUUUAUUUAUACUUAAUAAAUUUUGAUUUGGGACCGAGACAUUUUAAGUUUUUAGUUUACCUUGCCAUCCUCAGGGAUAGCCAGGGCAGUGGCCAAGAGAGAAUAGCCAGUGUAAACACCGAUCUCCAUGGUGUUUUUGGCAUUGACAAGCUUCAAAAGCAUAUUCAAGAAUUGCCCUUCAUCAGCAGAUGUGGUCAUGAUGUUCCUGUUUCCCAUCAUUCACGUCAAAUUUAUUAACAUCACACCAUAAGCAUUAAUAUCAGACAAAAUCUCUUAUGUUUAUGUAUUUAAAUGUAUGUGAAAAUCAAGAAACAUACCAAGGAUGCUUGGCAGUCACCUCCCUGAGCUCCUUCAUGCAUUCAGGCUCUCUUGGAUACACACUAGUCUCGAGAAUAUACUAAAAAAUAAUCCAAAUAUAAAAAGAAAAUGUUAAAAAGCAAACAACAACAAGAAAAAGGGGGAAAACUUGCACAAGAACAAGGAUUUACCGUUUAAAUUACCUGGUAAAGAGCAUCACUUUGCAAAAGGCUCUUGUGGCCAACUUCCUGGUGCCUUCCUGCCUGGCUUUGCUGUUCCUCUCCGUUGGUGGCCAUUAUUGUGUAUAUCUUCUAAUUAAACUACGAUCUCUUUCUUGGCCUUGGAAUUUUUAUUUUUGUUGUUGAUGAUGGUAGUGAUGCCUAACCUGAUCGAAAAUGGUAAAGGGCGGGUGGUAU
rnacentral:lncRNA from 1 species